GCAAGCCCCAGGAAGAAGACUUGCAGUCAGAGUGGCCACUACAGUUCUCUGCAGCAGACCCUCUUCCCAGGCCAGACAGCUCAGCCUUUGCCAGUACAGGAAAUCCAGAGCUUCAGCAUCUCCAACAGAUGGCUGUCCAGACUCUGCUUGAAGACCUCGUGAUGAAGGGCCCAUCACUCCCCUAGGGGCAGAACACAAGACCCCAGGAGAGCAAAUCAGGCUGCGGAUGCGUGCUGCUGCUCCCCCUGCUGGGAAACAGCUGGAAUAGCAGCAGACAGUUAAGCUAACCCUUUUUCUGAAGCUGCUGCUGCCAAGAAACUGCGGAUCUGGAUCCAAAUUCACAGGGGGUGCAACUGCACCCUUUCACCCCCCUGGAUCCGCCCCUGGACUGGCGCCCCGAUAGAGACUAAUUUUGAACGCAUCAAGGAAAAGACGUUACUAUGCUCCAACGCAAGAAUUUUUCUGUGUGGGCAUUUUUCGGUGUGAACUAUUUUACAAUGUGGGCAUUUUUCGGUGUGAGCAAUUUUCCACGUGGGUAAUUUUCCAUGUGGGCAUUUUUGGGUGCGAGCAAUGUUCCAUGUGCACAUUUUUCUUGUGCGCAUUUAUGACAGUGGGGUUUUUUCUGUGCACAAUUGUCUUGUGGGCUUUUUUCAUGUGUGUGUUUUUCAUAGAACCAGAGAUAUACAUACCAGGCAGAAUAUAAAUAUGAUAAAUAAAUAAUAAAUAAAUAUUUCUUAAAACUUGCAGAUUUUUUCUUAU